ACGCUGGCGGCAGGCCUAACACAUGCAAGUCGAGCGGAAACGACAACAUUGACUCUUCGGAGGAUUUGUUGGGCGUCGAGCGGCGGACGGGUGAGUAAUGCCUAGGAAAUUGCCUUGAUGUGGGGGAUAACCAUUGGAAACGAUGGCUAAUACCGCAUAAUGCCUACGGGCCAAAGAGGGGGAYCUUCGGRCCUCUCGCGUCAAGAUAUGCCUAGGUGGGAUUAGCUAGUUGGUGAGGUAAUGGCUCACCAAGGCGACGAUCCCUAGCUGGUCUGAGAGGAUGAUCAGCCACACUGGAACUGAGACACGGUCCAGACUCCUACGGGAGGCAGCAGUGGGGAAUAUUGCACAAUGGGCGAAAGCCUGAUGCAGCCAUGCCGCGUGUAUGAAGAAGGCCUUCGGGUUGUAAAGUACUUUCAGUUGUGAGGAAGGGUGUGUAGUUAAUAGCUGCGCAUCUUGACGUUAGCAACAGAAGAAGCACCGGCUAACUCCGUGCCAGCAGCCGCGGUAAUACGGAGGGUGCGAGCGUUAAUCGGAAUUACUGGGCGUAAAGCGCAUGCAGGUGGUUCAUUAAGUCAGAUGUGAAAGCCCGGGGCUCAACCUCGGAACUGCAUUUGAAACUGGUGAACUAGAGUGCUGUAGAGGGGGGUAGAAUUUCAGGUGUAGCGGUGAAAUGCGUAGAGAUCUGAAGGAAUACCAGUGGCGAAGGCGGCCCCCUGGACA
rnacentral:rRNA from 1 species